CCUACGGGUGGCAGCAGUGAGGAAUAUUGGUCAAUGGACGAGAGUCUGAACCAGCCAAGUAGCGUGAAGGAUGACUGUCCUAUGGGUUGUAAACUUCUUUUGUAAGGGAAUAAAACGAGGCACGUGUGCCUUUUUGCAUGUACUUUAUGAAUAAGGAUCGGCUAACUCCGUGCCAGCAGCCGCGGUAAUACGGAGGAUCCGAGCGUUAUCCGGAUUUAUUGGGUUUAAAGGGAGCGUAGAUGGGUUGUUAAGUCAGUUGUGAAAGUUUGCGGCUCAACCGUAAAAUUGCAAUUGAUACUGGCAGUCUAGAGUACAGUUGAGGUAGGCGGAAUUCGUGGUGUAGCGGUGAAAUGCUUAGAUAUCACGAAGAACCCCGAUUGCGAAGGCAGCUUACUAAACUGUGACUGACAUUGAUGCUCGAAAGUGUGGGUAUCAAACAGGAUUAGAUACCCCGGUAGUC
rnacentral:rRNA from 1 species